rnacentral:rRNA from 1 species
AUUGAACGCUGGCGGCAGGCCUAACACAUGCAAGUCGAGCGGAUGAAGGGAGCUUGCUCCUGGAUUCAGCGGCGGACUGGUGAGUAAGGCCUAGGUAUCUGCCUGUUUGUGUUUGAUUGCGUCCUGAAACGGGCGCUAAUACCCCAUACGUCCUGAGGGCGAAAGUGUGGGAUCUUCGGACCUCACGCUAUCAGAUGAUCCUAGGUCGGAUUAGCUAGUUGGUGGGGUAAAGGCCUACCAAGGCGACGAUCCGUAGCUGGUCUGAGAGGAUGAUCAGUCACACUGGAACUGAGACACGGUCCAGACUCCUACGGGAGGCAGCAGUGGGGAAUAUUGGACAAUGGGCGAAAGCCUGAUCCAGCCAUGCCGCGUGUGUGAAGAAGGUCUUCGGAUUGUAAAGCCCUUUUGUUGGGAAAGAAAAGCAGUAGGUUAAUACCCCGCUGUUCUGACGGUACCAAAAGAAUAAGCACCGGCUAACUUCGUG